rnacentral:sRNA from 1 species
GGAAGAAGGCAGCAAAGCAGAUGUGAAUGCUCAAGAUAAUGAAGACCAUGUCCCACUCCAUUUCUGUUCUCGAUUUGGACACCAUGAUAUAGUUAAGUAUCUGCUGCAAAGUGAUUUGGAAGUUCAACCUCAUGUUGUUAAUAUCUAUGGAGAUACCCCCUUACACCUGGCAUGCUACAAUGGCAAAUUUGAAGUUGCCAAGGAAAUCAUCCAAAUAUCAGGAACAGAAAGUCUGACUAAGGAAAACAUCUUCAGUGAAACAGCUUUUCAUAGCUUUCCCAGUAACCAGUAGAAAUCAGAAUUUCAGAUAAGUAUUUCAACAAAUCUGUGUGCAAAAUUUGUCUAUAAAAAUCUUAUUUCCUUGCAUCUUGAAAUUUAUUAAUUUUUCCACAAAUACUUUCUCACACCUGGAAAGAACUGAUAAUGAAAGGUCCUCUACAAUUUGUAAUGUGAUUCUAUAAGCAUUAAUUCACUUGAAAUUUCACCAACAAUUUGGCACAUUGAUAGGGUAUUGUCUAUUAUAGUUUUAUAGAUGGUAAAACUAAAACUCACAGAGGUCAAAGAACUUGU